AUACUUACUUGGCAGGGGAGAUACCAUGAUCACGAAGGUGGUUUUCCUAGGGCGAGGCUUAUCCAUUGCACUCCGGAUGUGCUGACCCCUGCGAUCCCUCCCCAUAUUUAUAUUCAUGACUUUUCUGACAACCAAGUAGAUAGAUAGGUAUGGGGGCUGGGUGAUGGUAUACCUGGU
rnacentral:snRNA from 1 species